GAAAUACCCAAUUUCUUUGUACAGUUCCUCCAUUAAUUAGUUCCACUGACAGAGAAAAAUAGAGAAAUAAAAUGGGAAGAAGAAGAGGAGAGAUGGCAUUCAUUUUGGUAAUUCUUUGUUCAUCUAUGAUGGCUUCCUUUGCUUUCACACAACUCUUCACAAUAGAUUCUAAACAGCAUAUAACUGUUAGAGAACACAAUAAUUCAAGAUUUGUUGAACGUCGAGGGGGAGGUAGGGGAGUGAUCCCAAUAUAUGUGGCUGGCGCUUCAUCAGGCCGUCAUGGAAAGCAUAGCCACAGCCUUGGAAAUCGUCCUAACAACUAUAUAGAGUUUAUAAUAAUUGGUGUUUCCAUCUCUAUUGCACUUUUGUGUAGAUUUAUAUGAUACCCAAACACAUUCCAAACCUUAUAUAAUGUGCAAUACACCUGUGUAUUUAGAAUCUUUUAUUAUGCAAUUUACAAGUUACGGUCGUCACAAAGUUAAUAUUGUGAGACCGGCGUGUACUAUUGACGCUUGGAUUGAGGAGCAUGAGUGUUAGAAGACUAGAAGCUAUUGCAAGGAAUUUUCCCACAUUUAUUUAUUUAUUAAAAUAAUAUUUUGUUCCA